CGGAAGGCAAAGGUAAAGCAGGGAGAAGGAGAGAACAUAAAAAUCAAGCUUUUUAAUCUCUAAAAUUGGCCUGUUGUGAUCGCAAUAGUUAGAGCAGCCGCUCCAACCACACUAGUCAGCAAGCAACUCAGCACACAAUCCAAGACUCACAUUGAUGACGUCAGACACCACCACGAACCCGAAGCAGCAACAACGAUGCCAAUGCACAGGGGUAGGGUGCAAUACCAGGAAUGCAGCAAACCAACUGCAGGGUAACAUUUCCACAGGAGCAGCUGGGUACCCAGAACACUAGAGGAGUUCCAGGACAUGCAGGGCAGCAAAUGGCUUGCUGGACAUCCUGGAAUAUGACAAGUCACAACGAGGUGUAGGGGUGGGUCUAAUAUAAUGGACAGGAGGACACAGCAUAAAACUGUUAUCUGAAAAAGUAACAAAUUGAAGCAGCAGCAGUGAUAGAAAUGAGUCGGUGGACAUCCACCUCAGCAAAGGAGCCUUGGGACAAAGUAUUAUUUUCACAAGUUGGAGCAGCAGCACAAAUUGGCAAGAGGGUGUAUGGGCACCCAAGAAAGCACAGAAGCCAUGGCACAUGGUAAUAACACAACAGCUUUUGGAAUAUGGAGAUUAACACUUUAUUGGGCACACCUGCACCAUAUGUGAUAUGGGCACUAGGCCA